GACGAACGCUGGCGGCGUGCUUAACACAUGCAAGUCGAACGGAAAGGCCCUGCUUUUGUGGGGUGCUCGAGUGGCGAACGGGUGAGUAACACGUGAGUAACCUGCCCUUGACUUUGGGAUAACUUCAGGAAACUGGGGCUAAUACCGGAUAGGAGCUCCUGCUGCAUGGUGGGGGUUGGAAAGUUUCGGCGGUUGGGGAUGGACUCGCGGCUUAUCAGCUUGUUGGUGGGGUAGUGGCUUACCAAGGCUUUGACGGGUAGCCGGCCUGAGAGGGUGAGCGGGCAGAGGGGGAAGGAAGUACGGAAGAGGCGGGUGAGGGAGGCAGCAGGGGGGAAUAGGGGAGAAGGGGCGGAAGAGUGAGGAAGGCUCGCGGAGGGGGGGAGGAAGGGGGUAGGGUGGUAAAAAGAUGGGGACGGGGAAGAAGCGGGCGGGAAGGGAAUGGGUUAAGAAGCAGAGCACAAGUACGGG
rnacentral:rRNA from 1 species